AGCAGAUGAACAGAGAAGAUUAGCUGGGGCUGUUUAUAAAUAGUGCUCCGCCCAAGACUAAGAACAGCAACGGAGGAAUGUCCACCUCAAUGCAAACUGUCUUGCUGCACAAUUUAAAAAUAUUAUUAAUCAGAUUUUUAAAUCAGAAAUGCUUUGGCAAUCACCAGACAACCACCUGUCAUGGAUGUAAGAAAGGAAUCGUGCCCCUGUGGCCCUUAUGUGUAAUGAAACAGAGCAGGCAAUACCCAGAAUACCAUCAACUCCCCAUUACUUGCUGCAGAGAAAUGGCCGUCUUGGCCACACUAAUGAGAUGGAAGACGGGUGACAAUCCCAUGCCGCGGUGAAACACAAAGACAAAUAUGCACUGAAUGCCAGCGAUGGCCCUUCAUGCUUUGCAGCCCCGCAUUGUAAUUUGACAAGAAAGAGGUACUAGAAAUUUCUAUGCAAAUACCUGGAUAACUGAAACAAAUGCCCCUAUGGUAACAUAGCAUAUGUUCACACCAUCUUGAUGCAAUAACUGAAAAACUUUAGCUUGGUUUUCGAUAAAUGGAGUCUGUAAAUAAUGAGUUAAAGGCAAAGCUCAGAAUAGUGUUUCACCUAUAAGACAAAAAUAACUGGAAAUGAUGUCAGACUACCUUCACGCACCAGGCAGGAUUAGCAUGUGCUGUGUUACGUGUUGUUGAUAAGGAGACUCACCCCACCCUUCACAUCCACUACCAUCACCACCACCACCACCACCUCACAGUCAUCCACCUUAAUCUGAGAUAAUCUAAGCCUCUGGGCUCACGUGAACAGGCGGUAGCAGCAGAGAGCAGUGAUAGGAAUAGCCACACGCUAACUUGGCUAGCGAAGCUCCAGCACAGCGGGAGCCAUGGACCUUUGGUGGUGAAGCUCGCCGACAGCCUGGAUCGCCGGCGGGGGAGGACCGAAGACCAUGUGCACCACUAUGAUGGUCCUCACCACCGUGGCCCUACUUGUACGACGGCACUUCAACAACAAAGUCAGGCCGCAAUCCGGUGACCCCGGCGAAGAAGACCCAGAACACAUGCCAAGCAGCCAGGCGUCAACUGCCCAGAAAUGACCGUGCCUCAUGCAUCGCUGGGGCAACAGCAAACGGAAGAUGUGGGUGCAGGAUGUGCAGAGUCUCCUAAAUUCAAUGGCUCAACAGCUGAGUGCUUCUCUGGAGAGGUACCCAAGACCCGAGCACACUUCCGCCUCCGCUCACCGCCGCUAUCGGCCCUCUCAGAGCAGAUUGCGACUGCCUCCCAUAUCAACAGCAUCACCAGCCCCACAUCGCCACGGCUAAUCCACUACCCUGAGUCUCUUCUAAUUGGCACCGAGAUGCUUCAGGAACGGACACUAAAACAGGAUCUGACACGGGAGCCAACUCCAAUACAAAACACCAAUUUGUAUCUAUUGAGGGUUAUCAAGUAAGCAUUAGAGCCCACAGACUAGAGAGUUGUUCUUCCCAGCCUCAUCGCUGGUGGCAGCUGUUUGUAAAAGUAUGGAGACAAAAAAAAAAACUAUGGAAAUAAUGAUGUGUCUUAUGACAAAGGGAAAGCUUGCAAGGUGUCUUUUGGCCAGAUAGAUAGUGUUGUGUUUUUUAACUGGUCAUGUUUAAUAUUUAGAGGAACUAUCAUGGGGUAGUUGAGCUGUAUGUCAGAAUCACGUACAAUAACGUGUAGUCAAUAAGGGCGAUGAGAAUGUGUCUGUAAAGAGCAGAAUUUGUCCAAAUAUAUUCUGGGGAUGGGUUUACAAACGCUGAGCUCUUACGAGAUGAUAACUGAUCAUUUAUGUUUAGUGUUAUGGUUGUAUGCAAGGGUUCACCUGGUCUAAAAAUGUAUCCUACUAAAACGUAUACUCUUCUGAAUAAAAGAGUGGUCUAUACGGAGUGGACAUGGUUGUGUGGUUUAUCUGUCUAAUGCUUUAGAAUGUAUAUUAAGUGCUGUGUUCCUUGACUUCCUUGACCCUGAGCAAAAUGCUAAAGAAACAUUGAAAUAUAAAAUAUAAAAUAUUUUUAAAAUACUUCAGGAAAUCUUUCAUCCCAAACCAAACUGUCCUAACAGUCAACAAAACAACCCGACUUCUUCCCGGUACAUCACAUGUGCAGUUUGUGCCGGUGGGGUCACUCUGAACCGUCGUCCACACAGUUUAAGCCUCCCACACAGCUUUUGAGGAACUGAGCAACGUGCUAUUAGAGUGGGCAGUGUGUGUGUCUGCGUGUUUGUGUGUGUGUGUGUGUGUGUGUGUGUGUGUGUGUGUGUGUGUGUGUGUGUGUGUGUGUCUGUGUGUGUGUGUUUGUGUGUGUGUGUGUGUGU
ensembl:lncRNA